GAGGAGUUGGUAGCUCAGUGGCAGAGUGCAUGCUUUGUAUGUAGGAUGUCCUGGGUUCAAUUUUUAAAUUCUCAGAUUCCGCC